UCCCUGGUGUCUCAGACAGUAAAGAAUCUGUCUGCAAUGCAGGAGACCUGGGUUCAAUCCCUGGAUUGGGAA
rnacentral:tRNA from 1 species